UUUUUUUUUGUUUGUUUGUGUGGUAAAUGGGGUUAAUGUCUGGUGGCUGUCCACAGUUGUCACCAGGAAGGCGUGUGUGUCACCGUGUCCCUUGGAGCUGGUGAGCUGCAGCAGCUACUGGUCCCAGUUGAGGGGAUUCCUGUUCCCACCCUUGCCACCAGGCUCAGCUGGCACGCAGCACGUCUGAUGUCCAGCGGCAGUGUGCCUGAACAGGAAGGCCAGCACGCUCCACAGGCUGCAGCAUACCAACAGACCAGAUUUUACAUUUGAUCCCGUACUCAUGCUGACAGUCAAGACUGGUCUGAGUCACACUCUUGUGGGAAUCUUUCUUGAAGAUUUUGGUAUUACUACAAGACUGUCACAGUGUGAAACAUAGCGUAUCGUGUUCCUGUCUAGAAACGACUACCCAGAAAGCCGUGCCCUGAUCGUGCAUAUGCAAACACACAUGAGGACAUCAGUACUUGAGUAACCCCCAAACCACUGUAAAUAUCUCAUGCAUAAAGCUGUUUGUAUGAACAUAUGUUUGUAAGUUGCUGAAUACUGCAGAUACAUGUGCUAAGAUGAUUACGAUACAAUCAAAUACAUAAUUUGACACAAUCUGGCUUUGGUUUAAUAAGGUGAAUACAAAUAAAUGAAGAAGGUUCUUUUAUUCCUGAGCUCUU
rnacentral:lncRNA from 1 species